rnacentral:rRNA from 1 species
AACGAACGCUGGCGGCAGGCUUAACACAUGCAAGUCGAGCGCUCCGCAAGGGGAGCGGCAGACGGGUGAGUAACGCGUGGGAAUCUACCCAUCUCUACGGAAUAACGCAUGGAAACGUGUGCUAAUACCGUAUACGUCCUUCGGGAGAAAGAUUUAUCGGAGAUGGAUGAGCCCGCGUCGGAUUAGCUAGUUGGUGGGGUAAAGGCCUACCAAGGCGACGAUCCAUAGCUGGUCUGAGAGGAUGAUCAGCCACACUGGGACUGAGACACGGCCCAGACUCCUACGGGAGGCAGCAGUGGGGAAUAUUGGACAAUGGGCGCAAGCCUGAUCCAGCCAUGCCGCGUGAGUGAUGAAGGCCCUAGGGUUGUAAAGCUCUUUCACCGGUGAAGAUAAUGACGGUAACCGGAGAAGAAGCCCCGGCUAACUUCGUGCCAGCCGCCGCGGUAAAAC